rnacentral:lncRNA from 1 species
CUGAAGUUAGGGUAAUAUUUUCAGUGAUUUUAAUUGAGCCUUUUCUUGAAACAAUUGUCAAGGACCCAUCAGUUAUCUCAACCCUUAGAUUAUCAUAACAAGGAGUGAAUGAAAAAAACCAAUUGAAAUUACUUGUCAUAUGGUUCGAAGCACUAGAAUCUAUGAUCCAAGGUGUUUUUAAAUUUUUUGUGACACUAACAACUGUUGAGAAAUUACCUAUUUGAGCAAGAUUUCAAGAUCCGAAAUUGGUGUUGGGUUGUUGUGAUUGAUUCAGAAGUCUAUACAGCAAGUCCAUUUGUUCUUUGCUAAGUGAUAUUUGAGUGGUUGCAGAUUCUGCCCUUUUAAAGGUUGUUCUUGCAUCUACUGCAACUUGAAAGCCCCUUCCAACACUCUGUCUAGGCCUCUCAUUCGCAGGUUUUUCGUGCAACAACCAACAUUUGUCUUUGGUGUGGCUGAGUUUGCUAUAUGAUCACAAUGCACUCUUUUUCUAGUUCACUGUUUUCCAUGGUAUCCAUUCUCACCCACUUUUAAAGCCAGGGCAGAGCCUUCCAUCGGGGUAUUUUUGAAUCAUUCUCUUCUCCCAACUUCACCUUUCUUCGACUCUCUUCCCUUCUGACUUCAGCAAACACUUCAUCAAGAGGCGACAUCAGUUCCUUUCCAAGAAUCCUUCAUCCACCUCAUCUAGGUCUUCAUUAGGACCAGCCAAAAAAUCAAACAUUCUUUCCUUCUCUAUUGACCUUCUUUGUUUUUCAGUACACUCAAGGCAACAAUUAGCCUCUAUAAAUAAAUCUAACUCUUGCCAUAAAGCUUGAAGAUCAGUGUAAUAUUGAGUUACACAAUGAUUACCUUGUUUGAUUUCCUUCAAUUUGCACCUAAUUUCAAAAACUUGGGCUGAGUUUCUGAGAUAUGAAUAAGUCCUCUUUACUACAUCCCACACUUCCUUUGUUGAAGGCAGAAGUAGGUACAUUUGACCAAUCUUAAGCUCCAUUGAAUUAAUCAAUCAUGCAAUAACAAUGGAAUCUUCUAAGUCCCAAUUUUAAAAGGUUGGAUCAUCUUCAGGAAGUUUCUUUGUGGCUCCUGUCAAGUGCCCUAAUUUUCCUCUUCCUUUAAUCAACCAUUACAACCAAUUUUUUCCAUUCAAUUUCCAUCCAGGAAAUUGUAGAAAGGUAUUGUCUACUUUGUAUAACAAGGAAGCAGACGUAGUUUGAAACAUCUAUUGUAUAGGACCUAAAGUAGUCAUUGAAGACUCAUUUCCACGACAUCCUCCGGCCAUGGAAGUCUUUGCCAUGAGAUUGAAUUAGGCCCAGAUGUGCUGCGACUUUGAUACCAUGAAAUCAGAGAGGAAAAAUGUAACUCUUUGUCAUAUUUGAUUGAGAUUGCAAGCCUUAAAUAUAUAGGCAAUCUAUUUAGGAAGAUAAUUACCAAAAAUAAAAUAUUCCUAAGAACUAAGAACCUAAGAAACAGAAAGCUAAAAACUAAGGGGGUAAAUAUCUUUAUUUGAAAAAAAAAAAAAGUACUCUAAUAAAAUAAUUUGAUAAUUAGCUAGAGCUUAUCCAAAGUUCUCUCCAACCACCAACAUAAUUUGCCUUCACCAAAUGAACCUUGAUAUUCUCGGGCAUAGCAUACCAAUCCAGGUAAUCUACCAUAAACAAAAGCCAAUCAAGAAAAUCCAUAGAAUUCAAUUUUCCCAAAAUUCAGCAACUUCAAUGCAUACCUUUUAUGUCACAUCAUGAUUUUUCUCAAAGUUUGUCUCACAUACUCUAUUGGGAUUUUGGUCCAAGUGUGCUAGCUCCCACCAUCUUUUUCAAUAGAUUACUUUUCUUGAUUUCUUUCUAAUAAUCGCACUAUCUCAUUUAGCCUAUUGUUAGUUCCAUAAUGGCCUCUUGUUUAGACUGUUAAAUUUACUCUUACUAUAUUGAAGCAACAUCUUGAAAUUAG